ACGACGUGAUCCAUACACCACAGGAAGAUUUUUUUUUUUCCUAUCUUGUUAAAUCUUUUAUAAUUUCCACUUCUACUGUCACCUCAGGAGGGUGGCGCUCAUUAUUUUAGGGCAUGCAGCUGAUUUGUAAUCGGAAUAAAAGAAUAAAACUCUCCCCUAAUGUAAGUUUCUUUGUUUACUUCCACCAUAUAACCAAAAAAUCUGCUUUCUCUCCCCCGCACCGCGCCCAACGAUUAAUUUCUCUGCGUUUUUUAAAUGGGUGAGACCUUUAUGCCUCCUUGUACAAUGGUGGCUAUUUAUCUGCUUAUGACAAGCAGAAAAUCCGAGCAGAAUAAAUGAAUGAAUACAAGCGAUCAUACAGCGCCACGUGACUUAACACCUGCAGUUAGCGCGCGCACUUUGGUGGGUCAUUUCCGGCAUUUUUUUUUUUUUUUAGCGUUCUAAUGCGUUCCAUUUAAUUCAAAACGUGAAGAAUGUACAUCGGAAUGCAGAAUUCAGCAGAACACGAGAUCGUUCAAUUGGCCCUUUGGGAAUAACUGGACAAACCACUUGAACCCAGCACAUCACCUCUGACCCUUGUGUCAGCUGUGACUGGUCCUCAAGAGACUGGGCUUGACAUCAACUUCUAUAACACUAAAGAGCACCAAUGAGGCUUUUUCACUGCCGGAUUGUAUACAUUUAUGUAAAAUAAACGUUCAAGGCUAAAUAAUAUUAACAGUGGGCCUGCAUUUUGACAAAGGCCUAACUCUAACGCCUCAUUAAAAUGUAUUUCACGGUGAUGUAGAUGUUUGGGACUUCACUUUUUUUUUGUUAGGUUAUUUUAGCAAUGCAUCAAGACUAAUACACAUCUUGCACGAACGUAAAGAAUGAAUAUCUCUUCUUAUUAAAGAAUAACGAAACAACCCCGUGUGCUCAUUUGCUUAAGCGUUAUUCAAGUUAUUUAAGAGGCUUGUUUAUAGCAAAGGGCACGCGUCUGGUCAGUUCAGAGUCAGUCUGACCUCUCGGUCCACUAUAACCCUAUUCUAUUGCCUAAAUCGCAGAGGUCAACUAGGAAAGCUAUUGUAAAGAUUAGGAGUGAUCAUGGAGCGUGUGUGUGCCUUAAAAAAUUUGUAUGCCCAAAAUGUCCCUUUGGGGGAGCCCUUAUUUGUAAAACUGGUAUAAAGAUAAAUUAAAUUUUUUAUUGCAAAAUGCAGCAAGUUUUCUGCUAGGGUUAGAGCGUGGGUUGUCAGGUUAUCAAAAAAAUUGUUAAAAAAAAAAAUAUUUAAAAACAAAAAUGUAUGCUAAGUCUAUACAAUGCAAUGUUCCCAUUUAAAUAUGUAAGAUGUGAACUUUUUUUUUUUUUUUUUUUGCAGGCUCCAGCAUAACAUUGAGACAAUUUAUCUGCACAUAAAGGCAUUUCUAAUCAUUUUUAAAAUAAAAGUUGUUUUAAAACGAACCACCAAAGAUGCACAGAACGCUCUGCUGCUGGAUAAAAACGGUAAUAAAAAAAACAUGGACGUUUUAAACCUUUUAAACGAACUAAUAUGCUGCAGUUGCAAAACGGCAGAUGAUUAGGGAACAGACGCAUGCUAACAACCUGAAAAAAAAACAGGCGCGCGCUGAAGGCAUUCUAACAAUAUUUCUUGGCCCAGCGGAAGCGCGCUCGCAAGUCUUCCCGUCUUGGUCAGAUACACCGUUUACAUUUGAAACAUUUCAAUGAGAAACUUUUGCGUAUUUCAAAAAACCCUGCUCAAUCAGAUGGCGAUUUUACUGGGGCUCACGCAUACGAUGCUGAUUUCACCCCGUGGCUGAUUUCUAAUUGCAAACUAAUGCUGUUACAAACUUACCCCGUCCAGGUCUCUCCUACAAUAUUAACUCGAUAUCCGACGACUAACGAGUCUCUUCUUUCUCCACGGGCUUAUCCAGAUAUGAACAAUGUGUUUUUGUUAGAUUUAGAUUGCUGUAAAUCUAAUACAGAGGUUGUUUAUCGCUUAUAGUAAACGUUUAUUGAACAGCAUAUGCGAUGGAUAAUUGUUCAGUGUGUGUUUUCUUUUUUUUUUCUUUCUUGUAAUAAAAUAAUAUAAAUGAAUGUGUUCUGCUGAUAUCGUCAGUUUGUUUCUUCCCAUCUUUUUUUGUUGAUUCGACUGAUGCAAGUCAAUUCCGCCAUAAUAAACGAUAUGCACUGGUAUCAUUGUGUAAGAAAAUAGAGAAAAGUUUCCGCAUCUUUGUUUCUUCGCAUAAAGGCAAAAACGCAGCAUUAAUUACACAUAAUUUGUACCUAGUUUAUUCAACGCAUUUAACAAUAGCCUGCUUAUAUUGUGGGAAGAUGAUAUUGAGAAAGCACUCUUUUUUUUUUUAGUCUUCUGUAAUCUACACGCUCCACAAAAUCCGAACGAAGCAACAGAACGAGACUUUUAUUUUAAAAUGUACAGAAAAGCGCCGCCAAUAGAAUAUAUAUAUAUAUCGAUUGAAAGCAAUCCGAGUAAAAGCAGGCGUAUCAUAAAACACACCAAACGUUUGAGUUCACCCACACGAUAUACCAUACCCUUUUUUACGAACCUGAAAACCUUUCAAGAAGCGAUCGGAACUGGAUAGAUAAAAAAAAUACACCCCUCAAAAUUAAUUUUCACUUGAGGAUUAAAUCUCGUCAGACGCGUCCAUCUUAACUCGAGAUUAUGACCCAACGCAAUUUAACCAGCGUUUUUACAUAUAUCAUAUACAUUACACAUAUAUAAUAUGCAUUACACAUUCUCAUCAGCCGUCAAGGUGCCAUCGAAAUGACCUUUGCCUCAAAAUAAUCUCAUUUCAUAACUAUUUAGAAGAUUUUUUACAUAUGCUUCACGCGCGGUGAACGGAAACGAUCAUUAACAGACGAGGAUAUCCCAUUGAAGGGACUAUAUGAAGUCGUUUGAUCUCCUUCCAGCGGAUGUAAAAAGCACUAACGCGUCACCCAACGCGCGCCGAGCUGACUCACUCCGGAGCAGCGCGUGCGUUUUUGUGCCUUGCGCAUGGAUGAGAGAGGUGAUUCACUGCUAGUUAUUUUGCGCACUUGCUUGUUAUGUGCUGUCCAAGGUGCUGACAGGAGCUCCAGAGCUGUGAGCCGUCAAGCUGCCUUGCAGUAGGUGGUUACAAAACAGCCUGUGGACACUACAUGUGAAGCGCCUCCUACAGUGCAUGCAUUUCUACAGAACACAACUUUAAAUUGCUUGCUCGGUGUCAACGGCCGUUCAUUUAAUGCUCAAAUGUCGUUUAUUUGUUGCAUACAUCACAAUCAGACAAAAGGAUAAUCCAAAGGGAGGCCGGGCAUAAUUCUCGCGUCAAAGCCCAUACAUUAAAAUGAUCUGGAUUGAGCACAGUUUCACGUACAUUAAAGAGGGACGUUUUAUAAUAACACAAAUCGAAAAUGGAAAGCACGUA